rnacentral:rRNA from 1 species
UCCUACGGGAGGCAGCAGUGAGGAAUAUUGGGCAAUGGACGCAAGUCUGACCCAGCCAUGCCGCGUGAAGGAUGAAGGCGUUCUGCGUUGUAAACUUCUUUUAUAAGGGAAGAAACCUGGAUUUUCUAAUUCAGCCGACGGUACCUUAUGAAUAAGCACCGGCUAACUCCGUGCCAGCAGCCGCGGUAAUACGGAGGGUGCAAGCGUUAUCCGGAUUCACUGGGUUUAAAGGGUGUGUAGGCGGACUGUUAAGUCAGUGGUGAAAUCUCCGGGCUCAACCCGGAAACUGCCGUUGAUACUAUCACUCUUGAAUUCUGUUGAGGUGGGCGGGAUACAUCAUGUAGCGGUGAAAUGCUUAGAUAUGANGUACAACACCGAUUGCGAAGGCAGCUCACUAAGCAGCGAUUGACGCUGACGCACGAAAGCGUGCGGAUCAAACAGGAUUAGAUACCCUGGUAGA